CCUACGGGAGGCAGCAGUGGGGGAUAUUGCACAAUGGGGGGAACCCUGAUGCAGCGACGCCACGUGGGUGAAGAAGCGCCUCGGCGCGUAAAGCCCUGUCAGCAGGGAAGAAAAUGACGGUACCUGAAGAAGAAGCCCCGGCUAACUACGUGACAGCAGCCGCGGUAAUACGUAGGGGGCAAGCGUUAUCCGGAUUUACUGGGGGUAAGGGGGGCGCAGACGGCGUUGCAAGCCAGGAGUGAAAGCCCGGGGCCCAACCCCGGGACUGCACUUGGAACUGCGUGGCUGGAGUGCAGGAGGGGCAGGCGGAAUUCCUGGUGUAGCGGUGAAAUGCGUAGAGAUCAGGAGGAACACCGGUGGCGAAGGCGACCUGCUGGAACAUUACUGACGCUGAUGCACGAAAGCGUGGGGAGCAAACAGGAUUAGAUACCCGAGUAGUC
rnacentral:rRNA from 1 species